AGAACGAACGCUGGCGGCAUGCCUAAUACAUGCAAGUCGAACGAACACUUCGGUGUUAGUGGCGCACGGGUGCGUAACGCGUGGGAAUCUGCCCUUGGGUUCGGAAUAACAGUUGGAAACGACUGCUAAUACCGGAUGAUAUCGAAAGAUCAAAGAUUUAUCGCCCAGGGAUGAGCCCGCGUAGGAUUAGCUAGUUGGUGAGGUAAAGGCUCACCAAGGCGACGAUCCUUAGCUGGUCUGAGAGGAUGAUCAGCCACACUGGGACUGAGACACGGCCCAGACUCCUACGGGAGGCAGCAGUAGGGAAUAUUGGACAAUGGGCGCAAGCCUGAUCCAGCAAUGCCGCGUGAGUGAUGAAGGCCUUAGGGUGUAAAGCUCUUUUACCCGAGAUGAUAAUGACAGUAUCGGAGAAUAAGCCCCGGCUAACUCCGCGCCAGCAGCCGC
rnacentral:rRNA from 1 species